AACUCAACCAUUGGAUUAAGAAAAGCGGGAAAUUAGCUAAAAGAGAUCCUCAAUUUGUAUCAACGGCUGGAGUUAUGCAGUAGCGAUUCAGCGAAUCAACAAGAGCGAAAACCACAGUAGUAGAGCGAAACGAAAACAAAAACAGCGCUCAGAUGAUAAGGUUCUAGAGAGAGAACUGUGAACUGUAUGAGAUGAAAGCUUCUAGAGAGAGAGAGAGAGAGA
rnacentral:misc_RNA from 1 species